CCUGGCGGCUAUGCCGGGGGGUCCCCACCCGAUCCCAUCCCGAACUCGGUCGUUAAGUCCCCCAGGGCCGAUGGUACUGCGUCUUAAGGCGCGGGAGAGUAGGUCGCUGCCGGGU
rfam:Hyphomonadaceae bacterium TKL13-1, complete genome.